rnacentral:rRNA from 1 species
GCCCGCACAAGCGGUGGAGCAUGUGGUUUAAUUCGAUGCAACGCGAAGAACCUUACCUGGUCUUGACAUCCACAGAACUUUCCAGAGAUGGAUUGGUGCCUUCGGGAACUGUGAGACAGGUGCUGCAUGGCUGUCGUCAGCUCGUGUUGUGAAAUGUUGGGUUAAGUCCCGCAACGAGCGCAACCCUUAUCCUUUGUUGCCAGCGGUUAGGCCGGGAACUCAAAGGAGACUGCCAGUGAUAAACUGGAGGAAGGUGGGGAUGACGUCAAGUCAUCAUGGCCCUUACGACCAGGGCUACACACGUGCUACAAUGGCAUAUACAAAGAGAAGCGACCUCGCGAGAGCAAGCGGACCUCAUAAAGUAUGUCGUAGUCCGGAUUGGAGUCUGCAACUCGACUCCAUGAAGUCGGAAUCGCUAGUAAUCGUAGAUCAGAAUGCUACGGUGAAUACGUUCCCGGGCCUUGUACACACCGCCCGUCACACCAUGGGAGUGGGUUGCAAAAGAAGUAGGUAGNUUAACCUUCNGGAGGGCGCUUACCACUU